UGGGAAUGGUGGGAAUGUGGGAAUGGUGGGAUUGGGAAUGGUGGGAAUGGGAAUGGUGGGAAUGUGGCAAUGUGGGAAUGGGAUUGGGAAUGGUGGGAAUAAUGGGAUUGGGAAUGAUGGGAUUGGGAAAAAUGGGAUUGGGAAUGGUGGGAUUGGGAUUGGGAAUGGUGAGAUUGGGAUUGGGAACAAUGGGAUUGGGAACAAUGGGAUUGGGAACAAUGGGAUUGGGAUUGGGACUGGGGUGGGAUUCAGGGUGCUGGGAUGUUGGGGGUUUAUGGGAUGGGAAGGAUGUGGAAAACGGGACGCCGGGAUUUGGGAUCAGCGGGGGAGAGCGGAAGGGAAGGAUCUGGAGCUGGGACGGGAAAGAUUUGGGGUUACCGGGAUCAGGAAAGGAUUUGGGAUCACCAGAAAUGGGAUGUGGAAAAAACAUGGAUCUGGGAU
rnacentral:lncRNA from 1 species